rnacentral:rRNA from 1 species
AUUGAACGCUGGCGGCAGGCCUAACACAUGCAAGUCGAGCGGAUGAGUGGAGCUUGCUCCAUGAUUCAGCGGCGGACGGGUGAGUAAUGCCUAGGAAUCUGCCUGGUAGUGGGGGACAACGUUUCGAAAGGAACGCUAAUACCGCAUACGUCCUACGGGAGAAAGUGGGGGAUCUUCGGACCUCACGCUAUCAGAUGAGCCUAGGUCGGAUUAGCUAGUUGGUGAGGUAAAGGCUAACCAGGGCGACGAUCCGUAACUGGUCUGAGAGGAUGAUCAGUCACACUGGAACUGAGACACGGUCCAGACUCCUACGGGAGGCAGCAGUGGGGAAUAUUGGACAAUGGGCGAAAGCCUGAUCCAGCCAUGCCGCGUGUGUGAAGAAGGUCUUCGGAUUGUAAAGCACUUUAAGUUGGGAGGAAGGGCAGUAAGUUAAUACCUUGCUGUUUUGACGUUACCAACAGAAUAAGCACCGGCUAACUUCGUGCCAGCAGCCGCCGUAACAC